rnacentral:rRNA from 1 species
CUACGGGUGGCAGCAGUAAGGAAUAUUGCGCAAUGGAGGCAACUCUGACGCAGCCAUGCCGCGUGCAGGAAGAAGGCCUUAUGGGUCGUAAACUGCUUUUAUUUAGGAAUAAACCCCCGAACGUGUUCGGGGCUGAAGGUACUAAACGAAUAAGCACCGGCUAACUCCGUGCCAGCAGCCGCGGUAAUACGGAGGGUGCAAGCGUUAUCCGGAUUUAUUGGGUUUAAAGGGUGCGCAGGCGGGCUAUUAAGUCAGUGGUGAAAUCCCGGGGAUCAACUCCGGAACUGCCAUUGAUACUGAUAGUCUUGAGUUUGGUUGAAGUGGGCGGAAUGUAGCAUGUAGCGGUGAAAUGCAUAGAUAUGCUACAGAACACCAAUCGCGAAGGCAGCUCACUAAGCCAAAACUGACGCUCAUGCACGAAAGCGUGGGGAUCAAACAGGAUUAGAUACCCGUGUAGUC